rnacentral:lncRNA from 1 species
UUUUUUUUUUUUUUAAACUUUUUCAUUAUGGUUUCAUUUUAUGAGAUAUUUCAGGUAUUUAAAUUUUCCUUUAUGAGAUUUUUUUUAGUUUUUCUUUUUUUAAAUUUAGGUCUGUCAUGGAUUGAAAUUUCACUUUGGUCUAGUAUAAAUCAUACAUUGCACAUGGAAAAUAUCUUAGAAAAGAAAUCAACUUAAUGCAUACUGCUAAAGCAGAGGAGAUUUGGAUUUUUUUCAAAGAAAUAAAACCGAAUAGGUGCAGAAAUUAUAAUAAAACAAAAAUGAUGAUGGCAGACUUUUUCUUUUUCUUUUUUUUGUUGUUAUUUAAAGUGGUGACAGACUUAGUAUUAAGCAACUUUAAGGCUUUAUUAUGGUGAAUGAGACUGGCAACUUGUUAAGCCAGUAAAGUCUAGUAGGAAAUGAUCCACUUAUCAUGGUAUUCAAUUUUUUAUCCAAUAGAAACUGUUGACUUAUAGACAAUCUGUCAAAAAAAAGUUUUUGUUUUUGGUAUAUUAUUGUUGACCUGUAGGCAAUGUAUUCAAUGCUAGCAUAUGGUGAUUUUUUUUCCUUCUUUAUUUUUUUCCCUUCUUUAUAUUAUUGUUGGCAAGUAGACAAUCAUUCAAUGUUAGUAUAUGGUGAUAUUCGUUUUUUUUUUUCAACUGUGAGUAAGGUUAUCAAUAUGGUUUAAGUAAAUUUGGUAGGAAUCUAUUUCUGAAAUAGCAAUCUGAUUACCAUUUUUUUGUAUUUGUCUUUUAUCAAAGCAAACAUAGCCACUUUGUGUAUUGCACAAUAUUAAAAUUCCAAAUAUCAAAACACAGAGUUUACAUAUUUGUAAACAAUCAUUAAUUUCGUGACUAAUGUAUUAAAUUCGUUACAUAUUUUGUCUCUAUUGGCAUCGUUUCACUAGACAGGGUAUGAUCAUCAUAUACGUUGUCUUCAAAUCUCUUCAGAAAGUUGCCCUAUUCGAAAAUUUUCAGAAUUAUGUUUAUUUUUAAUUCCCUGGAUUUUAUGUAUAAUGGAUGGUUUUUAUUUUAUUUUAGUUUAAUUUUAAUUUAGGAAAAAUUACAUUUUACCCCUAUGAUUUAGUAUUUUUUUACAUAACCCCCCUAUGGUUUCAAAAACUAUAGAUAACCUCUUCAUGGUUUGGAUUAAAGUGUCAAAAUAACAGAAUUUGCAUUCCAUAACGGAAUCAACUAAAAUGUCAAAAAUACCCCUAUGUAAAGUUGAAAAUUAUUUAUUAACCACAGGGGGGUUAUGUAUAUAUUUUGAAAAUCAUAAAAGGAUUAUAUGGUAAGGUACUAAAUCAUAAGAGAGUUAUAUGGUAAAAUAUAAAAUCAUACAUUUAUCAUGCAUAUUAUGCUUAUAUAUUUUGAUUACUUCAAUAAUUUUACCUUUAAAACAAGGGUAAUUUUGACAUUUUUAUAGAAUUCGUUACGAAUGAUCAUUUUCGUUAUUUUGAUAUUUUAAUUCAAAUUAUGAGUGGAUUAUAUAAGUUUUAAAACUAUAGGGAAUUAUGUGAAAAAUAGCUAUACCACAUGGGGUAAAGUGUAUUUUGACCUUUAAUUUAAGUAGUUGCAAUUUUAACACCAAGUCUAUUCUCAAGUGGAUAUGCAAGAUAAAUGCAAUGUUUUGAAAAUCGGACCGGACCGGCCGGUUUGACAGGUCGGACCGCAAACCGGUUAUGUCUCCGGUCCGGUUCACUACUAAAGUUGACUUGUUAUAAGAACCGGUCAAAACCAUAAAAACCGUUAGAACUGUUCAACCCGGAUUGACCCAUUGAACCACGGUUUUUUAUUUUUUCCUAAUUUUUUAAAUCGAAUUUAAAAGUCUUGAAAGGUGAAAAUGCAUCUUCCCAACUUUUCUUUCUAACCCUAAUUUCUAAUGACGGCUGCCGCAUACUCUCUCUCAUUCUUAAUCUUUUCUCCAGUUCUCUUUAUUCUUGUUUCAAAUUAAGAAUCCAAAUUCUCAAAGGUAUCGGGCUUCUUAAAUAUGGGGUUUCUUAACUGCAAUUCUCUAUUUUUUCUUGCAAAAGAUUGGAUUAAUCUCACAAAUCUUAACUCUCAAGACAUCGUCCAGGUUAGUUUCAUUUUUUUUUCAUUUAUUUGUUUAUUACUUGGCGUUUGAUAGAUUGUAUGAUUCUUGAGGUCUGCAAUUUUUGGUAGUUUUAUUUUUAUUGUUCGAUUUUUCUUUGAAGAGCAAUUUGUCUAUUUCAGUUUUUUUUUCUUUUUCUUUUGUGGGUAAGAAUUUGAAUGCCAUGAGAGAAAACCAGUGCAGAAAGCUAAUUUACUUGAUCAACUAUUAUGUCACAAAACUCAGGAUUCAAUUCCUAUUUUUGGUAUUGUAUGUGUACUUCACUUUUGUUGAUUAUGUACUGGAAAAUUCUUGAAGUACUUUGCACUAAAAUAUAUAAUUUAUUUUGGCUGCUCUUAUCCAUUAGGAAUACUCAAGAACAUAAUCUUUAUACUAGGCCGACAAACGAUGUUAGGGACACUAUUUAGUGGAUUUUCCAAAAUAUUGCAACAGGCUACACUUGCAAUUUUUGUGCCUAUUCCAGAGCAUGAUGAUCAAAUUGCGUGGCUUGAAAAUUCUUCAGGGAUGUUUACCGUAAAGGAUGCUAUGAAAACAUUCCGGCCCGAGGUACCGCUGUACAUUGAAGUAGUUUAGUAUGGUAUGAAAAUCACAUUCCUAGACAUGUUUUUAUAUUGUGUUUGGUAUGUAACAAAGACUUAGUACGCUGGAUUAGAGGAAAUGCGGUGUUCUCAGUUGGGGAAAAAUUCCUAGAACUCGUGCAAUAUUCAGAUUAAUUGUUCUUAUUCACUGGUUGUAGCAAGAAAAGGGGAGCCUGCAUGUUUGUGAGUUCUCAGAUUGUAAAAAGCCUCCAAAGGAUCCUACAUACAGUUUGCUAUGAUAUUUAUAUUACCUACUACUGUUAGCCUGUUACUUGACAUAGUUGGAUCUUUAAGUGCUUUUAUGUACUCUUUUUCCAGGCAGAAUGUUCUGCGAUACACUUGUUGUAUUCUUCUUCUUCUUCUUCUUUUUUUUUUUUUGUUUUUGUCAAAACAUGUUUAUAGGCUGAGAGGUUAGAUCACUUUCUAUAACACACAAUAAAGAAGUAACUACUAAUUUUGUUGCAAUACAUCGACUACCAAGUUUAUCAAAAAAACAGAAAGUUAUUUGUCAGUGACAAACGGAGAUGAUGCAAACAAAUGUAUGCGUCCGGGAUAUCGUUGUUGCAAAACAGAGGUGCAUGAUAAAAACUACUAAAGAAGCAUGAUAUUAGUCUAAAGAAAAUAAUCGAACUCCUAAACUAGUUAAGAAUUUUGUGACUUCUAUCAUAAUGGAGACACAAAAGUACGUGAAUCUAUUAGAUUUUUCAAUUCCUUUCCGGUUAAAUAGAAAGUUCUGAGUAUUUUGACUUCCGGAAUAAGUUUAUUCUAAUUGUUCUCAUAUUAUAACAUAUUCAUUUGGUAAGCUAGUCUCUAUCUGUUUGUUUCAGAUUUUGACUAUGAAUUAAGGUUGGAUAGGGAGCAAAACCAGUUUGAUUGGUUUUUCUUUUAAAGAGUCUGAUCUCCCUUCCAAGGUAGAUGGAGCAAAGGCAGAGGUCCAAGACCAAGAGAAAGAUGACAAGAGAGAAAAGAUUGAUAGGAACUUAACUCAUCUUCUAUUAAGUGGAUUAAGCUAUUAAUUUUCUAAUAGAUUAGUUGUACUAAUCAAUUACUAUAGCACAUUUGUUGAUUUUUUUGGGCAUACACUAAGAAGCAACACCUUAGUAUUACCAAAAAAAAAAAAGAAGCUUAUAAGAGACUUGUAUUGAAACUGAAAAUGAGCUUAUGCUAUUAAUUCAUCAACUCAUUAUUUAUAGUAAUUACAUGAAAUAAACUAACAAAAUAUCUAACUAACAAUUAUCCUAAAAAAUUUCAACAAAACACUUGAUAACAUAGUCUCCUACUCAACAAAUCUUCUCUAAAAUAUUUGUUAACAAAGCACAUGAUUUUUAGUUAACAAAUAUCCUAACAACAAGAUUUAUUUAACUACUAACUAAAUUAUUCUAAUAUCAAACAUAAUAUAAUAAAAUCUAUAAAAAAAGUUGGCAUAUUUCAACACUUCUUCUUGCCACUUUUGCUGCAGAUUUUGAAUUGCCUUCUCAAAAUUUUGGAUCUUGUCUUGGAGAAAACUUUUAUAAGAAUCUCUGCAACUGAUGAUUAGCCUUGCAAUGAACUUCUUCUUUUGGACUUUCAUACAAGCUAAAGAUUAGUCUUGCAACAAACUCACUUCUUUUGUCUUCUCAUGCCAAAGUCCAAAUAAAAGAUGUUUUUUUAAUUAUUUUUUUAUGUUUCCAAAUAAUCUUCUCAUAGGAUUAAAGUGAAACACCAUUCGACAAUAUUUAAACUUAUAAAAAAAAUAUUAAAUUCUACAUGGUUCUUCAUUUUAUCAUCACCAUCAAAACUUGUAGACUAAAAAACAACAAUAUUAUAAUCAUGAUAAAUAUUAGUAAUCAAUUUGAUACCUCAUAACUUAUCAAUGAUCUCCUGUUGAAUUUUUUCAGGAUCUAAAUUCUUGAUUUCAUCACGUUUUACUUCAAAAUUAUCAAAACCCGACCAAUUCAUAGUGAAACUUUGUCUUUUCAUUUUAAUUGAGAAUAAUUAGUUCUCAAUCAAAUUAUAAGCCAUUAUCCUUGUGAAAACGGCAUCAAAUGAUAUGUGAAUGCUGAUUUUGGAUCUCUAUCUAACUUCAACUCUACGGUCUUUAAUCUGUAUAUCCAUCGGUUUUUCAAAUAUUGACGAUACAAAAUUUGUGUCCACCAUAUCCCAUAGAUUGCUGACUACCAAAUAAGUCCAAAAUUUAAUGGCCUAAAUUUGGUAAGUUUCACCACUAAAAGUUGAAGCAUUUGACAAAAAGUUCUUUCCUAUCAUGGUUUUGAACUUAUAAAGGAUCCUCAUCAAAUGUUCUCACUCUCAAAAAACAACACAGGCAUUAAGACAUAGGCUCUGAUACCACUUUGUUGUUUUUCUUGGGGCAUAAAUUAAGAAAUAACACCUUAGUGUUACAAAAAAAAUUAUAAAAGACUUGUAUUGAAACUGAAAAUAAUCUUAUAUUAUUCAUUUAUCAACUUACUAUUUAUAGUGAUUAUAUGAAACAAGCUGACAAAAUAUCUAACUAACAAUUAUCUUAAAAAAUCUCAACAAAACACUUGAUAACAUAAUCUCCCACUCAACAAAUUUUUGCUAAAAUAUUUGUUAACAAACCAUAUGAUUUUUAGUUAACAAAUAUCCUAACAACAAGAUUUUAUUUAACUACUAACUAAAUUAUUCUAAUAUUAAACAUGGUCUAAUAAAAUCUGUUGAAAAGGUUGGCAUAUGUCAACAACAUUGAUUUGAUUUUGCUUGAGAUUACAGGCAUCAUUAGUUCCAUACUACCAUGUGACACUUGUUUGUACAUUUUUUUUUUUUGUAUCGAAAUGGGACUUCUGCUAACUACUUCUAUUAAAAAGUGAAGCAGGUUUAAAGACCAGAAUUGGUGUGAAAUAAUGUGGGAAUGCAAAUAAAACUAAUUCACGGUUAUGAUAGAGAACAUAAAAGCUAAUAGGCAGUAUAUAUGCUAAACUGAAUUGCAGGAAAGGUAAAAGCGAAUACCAAAGAGUCGAGCGGCCAAAAAAAAAAAAAAAAAAGGACUCCUGCUGCUUUUGGUCAAAAUUUGCUUAACGAUCAAGGAGGUAUGGGACGGUAAAGAAGAAAACAAAAUCAUGUCCUAAUUUAUUAGGACAUGAACUUUCGUCUAUUAUUCUUAACUGCAAGGAGCUGUUGACUACAUUCUAGCCGAAUAUGUUUCUACCAUAACUACAGCGAAGCAAACAAAUGUGCAGACAUCCUAGCAAACUGGGGAAGAAGCAGCACUCAAGACUUCACUUCUUUUGAAUUAUGUCCUAAUUUUGUCCUUCCCUUACUUUUGCAAGACUUAAAGGGUGUUACCACCCCACGGAUGACUGUACUUUAACUUCCACUCUGUAGACUUGGCUUUUACUUUAAUGCAUCUUUAUUUACCAAAAAAAAAAAAUAAAUAAAACAAAAUAGCUUUGGAUUGAAAAUUCUAGCGUUUAAUACUAACAGUGGCACUGGCUUGUAUCUACUUUUAUGCUUACCCAAAAGACUUCUAGUUUCAUGGCCGGAUUUCAUAACUUGUGUCUAGUUACUCCAUAAAUGUACUAUGCAAGUGAUUAAUAUGAUACAACAUAUAUGUAAAAUUUAAAAAUUACAUUACUAACCAUGAAAUUAAAACUAAACUAAGGAAUAUUAUAAGUGGCUUUUAGGAUGGAACAUAUACGCUCAUGAAUUUUAAGUUACUACUCGGACAUACCUGUGGUAUCCUUCAAUAGGAUUUUAUAAUCACUUCAAAAAUUAUAAUUGUCUAACUUAUUUGCUAAGUUUUCCAUAGCUUACAAUUUUUCUUCGUUGUGUUGGAUAUGGUGGGAAUUGAGAGUCCGACAUUGAUUCUGUUGAUGCAGUAUUUUCUUGUUGGUCGACGAAAUCAAAAUCCUUCCUUAUCUCUGACGGAGUUUUUGAGCAUCCACAACUCAUACCAAGGUUAUAAUACCCCGAUGUGUAGUGAUUUCCCAUAUUUGGAUUAAAAUAAGUAGGUGGAGGAUACAUGGGAAUUGGGCAUGAAAAAUUUGGUAGAUUGUGGAAAUUUGAUGGAUAGUUGGAAUUGGAUAAAUUUAGGGGAUAUACAUAAUUUUGCACAUUUGUAGGAAUACCAGAAAAUGGGUAUUUUAGGUAAUUUGAAAAAUUUUGGUGGUUUUGAUUUUGCGAGGAGGAUGAAUUUUCUAUAUUUGGAGCAUUUACAUAUUUGUAAAACUACUAAAAUUCUCAUCCAUAAACAAACUAUUGAAUUUUUGUUAAAAAAUUGUGCAAAGAGGUUGAGGAAAAUGAGUGAGAGAGUAAAAGGAAUAAUAGAGUAGGAUAGUAAGAUAUGAAAGAAAAAGGAAUGUGUUGUGUUUAUAUAGAGAAUUAAAACAUAACCAUUGGAAAAAAAAAAGAACGUUGCUAACUUUUCCUUGCCAAUAUAAAUUUUGUCCGUUGUGACUUCAAAAAAAUUAGAUUUUUAAAAAAAUUGGUCUAAAGGCACUAGUCUACCUGUUACACUAUCAUCAGAAUGAUACGUGUAAUGGAUAUUACACGGGCAUAAUGAAUGACCGUGUAAUGGACCAAUGUCAUGACAGGUAGUACAUGCAUCAUUACACUCCAUUGUGGAUGCCCAUAUACUAACAAAACUGGACCCUCAAAGGCAGCUUUUUGAUGACAAGCACAUGAGAAGUAGAUUUCCUCGAGCAGCCUCUGGAUAGUGCUUGUGGCGGUGCUGGUGCUUUUGACAUUCUGGGCUACAAUGGUGAUGGACUAGGCAAUGUGGAAGAAUAUAUUAUACUGGAAAGAAAUUCACAAAAUAUGGGUGCAGAACUCCUCAAGGGUGUAAAUAUUAUAUUUAUAUCACCCCUGCUUUUACAAUAUAAUUUCUUCUUCCCUAUGCUUUAAUACAUUGACUACUUAACAAAUGUAGAUAUAUUUGCUUAUAAAACUUCUAUCAGUAAGUUUACUUCUUCACGCACAUUCAUCAAUGUCUUAUGAUCACCAGCCUCAAAUGAUUAUAUGGGUUAAACUUUUUAAAAUAUUUAACACCGGCACAACUAUGCAUUGAAAUGAUAAAAUAUUCAAGAGUCUUGGAAGGUGCAACCUAGCCCAAUUAUUACUACUGAUCAGCAAGCUCAACAGUCAAGACUUCUUCCAUUCUUUUGUUCCUAAUUUUUACCUACUUUCCUUCAAUGACCUCUCACACCAAUCAUUCCUCUGUUCAUCAUCUCACCAUUAAUCUCUCAAAUUCCUCCAAUAAAGUUCAGUUUUGUGCCUUAAACCAUAUGCGCAGAGUUUUGUGCCUUAAACCAUAUGUGCAGGUUUGAUUUCUUAAUCUACAAUAGCUUUUGUUUUUAUUAUUUCUACAAUUUACUAAUGUUCUAGUUUGAGAUUUAAAUCUAAUACUGUAUUUGCUUUGAUUUUGCAGUUCUUAUACUUUCAAAGGCAAGUACUUAUCUUUCUUCAUCUUUUUCUUUUGUUUGAUUUUUCUUUUUCUCCAACCUUAUUCUUAGCAUUUUUAGCCGUUGCCUGAGUCUAAGUUUGCCAUCUUUUCUUCAUCUCUCUCUCUCUCUCUCUCUCUCUCUCUCUAUUUUUCCUUUUUCAGUCUUAUCAGCAUUGUUUACAUAGCAUUUGGUUAAACAAUUAGUAGCAAUUUUUUUUCCUUGAAGAAGUUUGUUUUCCAAUUUCGUGGACAAUAUUCAAUGAGAUUGAUACAUAGUGUCAGAACUAUUGUACAAGUUAUCUCUGUACCAAUUUUGGCUUUCUUUCUGCGUUUAUAUCUACUGGUGGAUGCUGCACUUUUUGUUAUCUAGAAGGAUUUUUUCCUUAUAUUUUGUUUUGUGAUUGUAUGUAUUAUAUUUGCAUUAGGGCAGUGGGGAUGUACUCUACUAGAUUUCUAUUUUUUUGCUUUGUAUAUGGAAUAUUAGGGCAAAUUUCACUUUACCCCCUGUGGUUUAGCGUUUUUCACAUAACCCCUAUGGUUUCAAAAGCUAUACAUAACCCCUUAUGCUUUGGAUUAAAGUGUCAAAGUAACGGAAAUAGUCACUCGUAAUGGCGUCACCUAAAAUGUCAAAAAUACCCUUAUGUAAAGUUGAAAUUUAUGUAUUAACCAAGGGGGGUUAUGUGUAUAUUUUGAAAAUCAUAAGGGGGUUAUAUGGUAAAGUAUUAAACCAUAGGGGGGUUAUAUGGUAAAAUAUAAAAAUCAUACGGGGUUGAUGUGUCAUGUAUUUAUAAGGGUAAUUUUGACAUUUUUAGAAGUUCCGUUACGAGUGACUAUUUCCGUUACUUUGACACUUUAAUCCAAACCAUGAGGGGGUUAUGUAUAGCUUUUGAAACCAUAGGAGGGUUAUGUAAAAAAAGGGUAAACCAGGGGGGUAAAAUAUAAUUUACCCGGAAUAUUAUGAUGUUAAAGUUGGAGAUGAAAGCUGUCUUUAGAGUGUUUGACUUCAUGGAGAAAGUUCCGCUGUUCAUACUUUCCAUUUAGCCAGUAAUUCUACUUACUGUUUGGCAACUUUCUCGAUUUCAUAUUACUAGAAAACGAAUUUCUUGUUUCUUGGUCUCAGGCUUGUCACAUUCAUAUACUUUUGUUCAAGAAGUCAAAAUUUGUUAAUUGGCUAAAAGGCUAGAUCACUUCUCUGAACACUGAAUGAAGAAAUAUCUAUUGAAUUUUGUUGCUGAUGCAAACGAUUAAUAUGUACAGUUUUUGUAGAAACACCCAAUCAACAACUAACCAAACAGAGCAUAUAUGUGUGCCUCUUAGGAUGUCAUUGCUGCAAAACAGGGGUAACAUGAACAAAACUAGUAAGGAAUUUUAGAUUAGGCCGAAGGAAAUCAUCGAACUCCUAAGUUGGUCAAGAAUAUGGUGUCUUCUAUCAUAAUAAAGAGACAGAAGUAAGCCAAUCUAGUGGUAUUUUCAAUUUCUUUCCGGUAAAAUAGCGACUGCUGAUUAAUAUGACUUCUGAAUAGGUUUGUUCCAAUUAUUCUCAUCUUACGAGAUUUUCAUUUGGUAAAGUUAUCUUGAUAUAUUAGUUUUUAGAGUUUGCCAUCAAUUAAGGUUGGUAGAAGGAGCAAAACUAGUUAAGUUGGAGCAUCAUGCAUGCUCCCACACAUUUUGAUGGGUUGACGAAACUAGCACGCUUGGGAAGAACAUGAGCAACAUAUAUACCUAAUCAUAUGUUGAAUGAUAAUGAUGCUUGGCAAAUGCUUAUUUCAGAGAGUAAAGCAGGUUAAAACAGAAGAUAUAUGACAUCCCGCAAGUAUUUCUAGUGACUUUCAUAUGUAGUUCAGCCAAAAUCAUUUCAUUGGUCAAGCAUGGUACUAAUGUAGCUUAAUAUCUUAUUUCCACAUUGAGUUUGAUUGUAUUUAAGCCUUUCAAUAUUCCCUUAACUACUGAUGAAUAUUGUUUCUGAUCAAUUCUCAUUUUAUUUCCUGCCAACUGCCAAGUACCCUUGUCCUUGACAUGUAUAGCAAUAGCUAGAUUGUUACUACUGCUACCUUACCUCCUACCUUUAACAUAAUCCAAAUUGCAGAAUAGCAGCAAGGUACUGGAAAUGGAACAAAUUCUUCACACGAAAGGAGGGGAAGAUGAGGAAAGCUAUGCCAAAAAUUCAACAUUUCAAGUAAGUGAUAAAUAUCAGAUAAAGUCUGAAUGAUUCUCUCCGGCCCUCUAUAUAUAAUUGUGUGACUGAUCUCUAAAUCAGUUUCUACCCUUUGGAGAUCAGUGUUUAUGAAUGUCAACCAUGCACUCAAUCGGAGCAUUCAGGGUUUUGUCAAGCCAGCCUAGCAGAGGCAGAGUGCAUAAGAGUAGCAGAUCUGGGAUGUGCAUCGGGACCGAGUAGGGCAAAUUACAUUUUACUCCCCUGUGGUUUAGCAUUUUUUACAUAACCCCAUAUGGUUUCAAAAGUUAUACAUAACUCCCUCAUGGUUUGGAUUAAAGUGUCAAACUCCCUCAUGGUUUGGAUUAAAGAAUCACUGACAGAAAUAGUCACUCGUAACGAAACUUCUAAAAAUGUCGAAAUUACCCUAAUAAAUACAUGACACAUUAACCCCGUAUGAUUUUUAAAUUUUACUAUAUAACCCCCUUAUGGUUUUCAAAAUAUACACAUAACCCCCUUGAUUAAUAAAUAAUUUUUAACUUUAUAUAAGGGUAUUUUUGACAUUUUAGGUGCUCCAUUACGAAUGGUCAUUCCUGUCACUUUGACACUUUAAUCCAAACCAUAUGGGGUUAUGUAUAGCUUUUGAAACAAUGGGAGGGUUAUGUAAAAAACGUUAAACCACAGGGGAGUAAAAUGGAAUUUGCCCGACCGAAUACGUUGUUAACAGUUGAAAGCAUUAUAGAUAGCAUUAAUAGAGAAUGCCAUAACCUGAAUAUUCUUAAGCUACCUAAUAUUCAAGUUUUCUUAAUGAUCUCAUGUCCAAUGAUUUCAACUCCAUUUUCAAAUUAUUGCCUAGUUUUUAUCAAAAACUUGAGGAAUCAUAUGGACGUGGUUCAAGGUCAUGCUUCAUUGCAGCUAUGCCGGCUCUUUUAUGGAAGACUUUUUCCUGACAACUCCAUGCAUUUUAUACACUCUUCUUACAGCCUUCAUUGGCUUUCUCAGGUUCGCCAAUCUCCUGCUUUGUUGUUAUUAACACGCAUUGCUAUGUUGGUAUUUACGGACCCUCACUAUCUUAAUUUUCAUUACUAUCUAUCUAAACCCCUGACUGCCUGAUAUAAUUUUUACAUUAUUACUAUCUGUAAUAGUUUUUGCAAUAGUUUUGCUGUUUUUUUUUCCUGUUCGAUUAAACAUUUGUGUCCUUAUACUUGUCUGUAUCUUACUUUCAGAGUACUUGUGAUGCUACUUGAAUCCUAAUAUGUAACCUUUGUGGUAAAUUAUCUUUGAACUCUUUGAAAAGGUUUGGAUUUAGUUUCCAAACUAGCCAUCACAUAUUUUUUACGUCCUUUAAUGUUGUUCAGCAAAUCAAACUGAUUCCUUGGUGUCAAUUAGAAAAUUAAUAUUCAAGUCUUAGCCUCAAACAUAAUGAAUUCUACAAGUAUACCAAAAGAAUAUGAAAACAAUGCCAAGCCCCAAAACAUGAUACUUAUCAUGUAUUUCUCUACCUCUCUGCUGCAGGUCCCGAGUGGGUUGGUGACUUAGGAAGGGUUGCCACUGAACAAAGGCAAUAUUUACAUAGGUAAAACAAGUCCUAAGAGUGUGCAUGAUGCAUAUUUGGAUCAAUUUGACAGAGAUUUUACAAACUUCUUAAGUGUCCGUGCUGAUGAAUAGGUGUCUGGGGAACACUUAUUUGUGACCUUGGCGACUAAAAUCGAUGGUCCCGUAGCAUAUAACGUUCAGGACUUACUUGGAUGACAAUGAAUGACAUGGUUUCAGAGGUAAUGAUUCAUACACACUCAAUCUCGAUACAAUGUGUGGUGAAAUAUGAUCCCAUCUGGGUAAACUGUACAGGGACUGAUUGAGGAAAAGGCACUCGAUACUUCAACCUUCCACAUUACCGGCCUUCUUUGGAGGAGUAAAACCAUCAUUGAGAAAAAUCGUGCUCUUAAGAUAAGGUAUCUGGACACCAUUCAACUGCGAGUGAUUGGUGCGGAGGCGACAGAUUGCGGGAAGGGCUACGUUUUCAAUACAAACACCAAUGCCAAGUACAGGGCUAGGAUUGAGUGCUAUUUGUGAACCCAUCUUUCAAGCUCACUUUGGAGAUGGUAUAAUGAACGAUUUCUUUAUAAAGUUGGCUGCCAAUAUCUCACAACAUCAGGGAAUGAUGAAGAGCCCUAUCAACAGUCUGGUUCCUUCCCUCUCCAGAACAUGAAAGCGGAAGAUGUAUACUUUGGCUGGAUUAGGUUCAUGAGCAGGCUUAAGUGUGUCGUAUUGGUUUGAAAGGGGUAGAAAUAGUGUCUUAACAUAUAGAUCUAAAUAGUGCAUGAUGCAUAAAUCUGUGGACCUUUUAGAUUAAGAUUGGCUUUGAAUUUAUAUCUGAGCCUCCUUGGUGGGGUUUUUUUCCUUAAUAGUCAGAAAUAAAAUGAUGCGACUUUCCUUGGUGGGGAUUUUUGUGAUUUUAAAUUAAAAAAAUUCAAAUUUUGCCUUUCUUUCCCUUCAUAGCAACAUAGAAUGGAGGAAAAAGAAAGGCAAAUUUUGAAAAUUUUUCUAUUUAAAAUCACAAAAUCAUAGCAAACAUCAUUCUAAAAGAGAUGACUAGUUUGUUUUGUUGAAUCUUGUGAUCAUUAGUAUAAUUUUGUUGCUUAUUUAUAUUGUUAGUUCAUUAAAUGUGAACUUUUGAUUGGUAAAAUAUGUAUUAAUUGUUUCUAAUUUUUAAUUAUUUUUAUUCUUUUACUAUUACAACUUAUUACAUGCAUAAGGAAAUAUUUAUAAAAUCAAAGUUUCAUCUCUCUCCUUAAAGUACUUUUUUAAUGUUACUUUUUCUAAAUUGAUUAAUUUGUUAUUAAACUUUAAUCUCAAGAGAGGUUUGUGUAAUUUUAAAAACUUUAGAGAGGCUAGUAAAAUUGUUAGAAACCUCCGGGAGGUUUAUGAACAUCCCUAAAGAAAACCAAAUGCCUUGGACAGCCGGAAGAGGACCGGUCAGGAUUUGGUUGACGAAAUGAGGAAGGAGAAAUUUUCAGCGAGCUUUUGAAGUCAUUUGAGGCAAGUCUUGUAAAAUUCAAACUUAUUUAGCCCUAUUUUAUGAACUCGGGUUGGUUGAAACCUAAAUCAAACUCCCCAAAGCAUGGUCAAUUAAGUAGUUCAAAAGCUGAAAGCUCUAGAUCACAUUAAAACCUCAAAUCUUAUCUCUCUGCAGGCCAAGCUAGAGUAAUAUAUAUAUGCAUUCUAGCCAGCUAUCUGGGUGACAAUUUAGUAUAGUAAAGACUUUUUACAUGCCUACAAUCCAACAGCUAGCUACCGGUAUUCUUGCCGUCUCAUCUUCAUACUUUCAAUGCUUCCAUUGAUAUGAGAUCCAUAUUCAUGAGAUUGACAAAGAGCAAUCCAGACAGCUUAAACUGGAACCAAGAUCAACCAAAUUGGCUACAGGUCUCAGCCAUGCCAGCUAAAUGGUUCCUUCAUAUGUAUUCCCUGUCUCAAGCAAAUCAGAUCAGAAGAAACCUGCAAAAUACAUGAAAGGUCGAGCACUUCCAUAUGUCUGUGAAAGACAUCCAACAAAGCCUAUUAACUCGAAAGCUGCUGCUUCCUACAUGUUCCAACAAAGCCUAUUAGACACUGACUGUCUUCAAUAUUGAUACAGAUAUUGGAUAAAGAGUUGACAAUGAACAAAGAACACUGUUAACAAUUGGUAAUGGAAAGAUGAUCAUUCCAAAUAAUUACAUAGAUGAACCAAAAAUGGAAUUCAAAAAUUAGCGAGGGCAAUAAAAUUUGCAUAUUGUCAAUGUUAAUAGAAGCAUGAGAAUGAAAGCUAUAUGUCUAUGUAAAACUCGGAAGAAUAGUGAGAUGAUAAUCCUUCCUAUGCUUACAAAGUGAGGUUCUAAUCUUAGCUAGUUUGGCAUAAUAACCCAAGAAAAAGUCAUGAUUGAUAUUCAUGUAUUAAUUCAAAACAAAAAUCAACGGAUUUAGCCUCUAAGUGCUUUCUUUUGAGCAAACGAUUUCUCCUAGUACACUAAAUAUUUAGGACAAAAAUGGACUAGUAAAAGAUAACCUUUUUCAGAAAGAAGCAGCAAAAGAAUGCCGCAAUUCUAUAAAUGUCGGCAAGUAGUUUCCUUCUUCCUUGAAUUUGUUAAGAGUUAAUUGCCAACUUCAUUUCAAUGGCUACGCUGAAAAAAUGCUCAUCUAACCUAGCAGAAUAGACUUGUGGCACAAUAUCUCUAUCAAGUGGAAUGAAGGACCUUGAAAAACUUCCUUGAGUAACAUUUACUAUUGUCUUCACAGAUGUCAAUAUUUUAAAGAGUUCUUGGUAAAAUUCUUAGGUCUACUUAUCUUUCUUAGCUAAAGCACAAAAAAAAAGCUACUUGAAAGCACCUAUUUAUUGCUUAUUUAAGUUAAAAUUUCUAAUUUUCUACUAUUCAAAUAAAAAAAAAAGUUAAAACCCAACAAGGUAUUAUGGUAAUAUAUGUUAGUUUACCUUGACAAAUUCAACACCUAGCUAGGUGGACACGCCGGAAUAAUCAACUGUUAGCACAAGUGCAUCAUGAAUCUCUCUUAUUUUUGGGUGAAAGUAUAGUCCUUGUCCAAUCAGAAAGGCAUUGCAUGAUCUAGCGGCAGUGCUUCAUUGAACCUUUGAACGAGGACUUAGAACCUUGCAUGUGAAUACAUAUUCUUGCAGCACAUAAUCUUUGAAUUUU